GAGGGUAUAGCUCAAUGGUAGAGUACAUGGCUAGUAUGCAUGAGGUACUGGGUUCAAUCCCCAGUACCUCCA
rnacentral:tRNA from 1 species